AGGGAUCAUUACCGAGUUUACAACUCCCAAACCCAAUGUGAACGUUACCAAACUGUUGCCUCGGCGGGAUCUCUGCCCCGGGUGCGUCGCAGCCCCGGACCAAGGCGCCCGCCGGAGGACCAACCAAAACUCUUAUUGUAUACCCCCUCGCGGGUUUUUUACUAUCUGAGCCAUCUCGGCGCCCCUCGUGGGCGUUUCGAAAAUGAAUCAAAACUUUCAACAACGGAUCUCUUGGUUCUGGCAUCGAUGAAGAACGCAGCGAAAUGCGAUAAGUAAUGUGAAUUGCAGAAUUCAGUGAAUCAUCGAAUCUUUGAACGCACAUUGCGCCCGCCAGUAUUCUGGCGGGCAUGCCUGUCCGAGCGUCAUUUCAACCCUCGAACCCCUCCGGGGGGUCGGCGUUGGGGAUCGGCCCUUUACGGGGCCGGCCCCGAAAUACAGUGGCGGUCUCGCCGCAGCCUCUCCUGCGCAGUAGUUUGCACACUCGCAUCGGGAGCGCGGCGCGUCCACAGCCGUUAAACACCCCAAACUUCUGAAAUGUUGACCUCGGAUCAGGUAGGAAUACCCGCUGAACUUAAGCAUAUC
rnacentral:rRNA from 1 species